GACGAACGCUGGCGGCGUGCUUAACACAUGCAAGUCGUACGGUAAGGCCCUUUCGGGGGUACACGAGUGGCGCACGGGUGAGUAACACGUGAGUAACCUGCCCACAACUUUGGGAUAACGCUAGGAAACUGGUGCUAAUACUGGAUAUGUGCUCCUGCUGCAUGGUGGGGGUUGGAAAGCUCCGGCGGUUGUGGAUGGACUCGCGGCCUAUCAGCUUGUUGGUGGGGUAGUGGCCUACCAAGGCGGCGACGGGUAGCCGGCCUGAGAGGGUGACCGGCCACAUUGGGACUGAGAUACGGCCCAGGCUCCUACGGGAGGCAGCAGUGGGGAAUAUUGCACAAUGGGCGCAAGCCUGAUGCAGCAACGCCGCGUGCGGGAUGACGGCCUUCGGGUUGUAAACCGCUUUCAGCAGGGACGAAGCUUGUUGUGACGGUACCUGCAGAAGAAGCACCGGCUAACUACGUG
rnacentral:rRNA from 1 species